rnacentral:rRNA from 1 species
UACGUAGGGGGCAAGCGUUGUCCGGAUUUAUUGGGCGUAAAGAGCGUGUAGGCGGUUUGGUAGGUCCGCUGUGAAAACUCGAGGCUCAACCUCGAGACGCCGGUGGAAACCAUCAGGCUAGAGUCCGGAAGAGGAGACUGGAAUUCCUGGUGUAGCGGUGAAAUGCGCAGAUAUCAGGAGGAACACCGAUGGCGAAGGCAGGUCUCUGGGCCACUACUGACGCUGAGAAGCGAAAGCAUGGGGAGCGAACAGG